AUGGAAAUGAAGAUGAAUUGAAUGGAAAUGAAGAUACCCUGAACGCAAUUGAAGAUAAAUUGAACACCGAUGAAGAUAAACUGAACGCAAGUAACCGGCAGUUAUUAGCAGUUGUUGUCACUUCUAAAUCAUCUCAAUCGAACAGUGAAAUCCAUGUCCUGGAUAUUGGUGGGAUAAAGGAUCAAGUUACAAACAAGUUUAUCCUCAAGCUAAACCACACCGUGUCAGACGUGUGCACAGCCAAGGUAAACGGUCAGUGGCAGGUAGUGACGCUGGCGCGAGAGACCGCACACCGCUACGCCUGGGACGACGCGAGCAGCACGCUGGUGCUGCAAGAAACGUACGCAGCCCCUGGAGGCGGCACCAGCUGCGUGUUCAUCACAGAUGGUCCAGCUGGCACCUACUAUCUUAUCUUAUCCGUCAACCAUCGCAGGACUAGCAGAGAUAACUUCAAGUCAUCA